GUAGGUGAACCUGCGGAAGGAUCGUUAAAGAAUCGCCCCGUUUUUUGAAAUGGGUUAUAUUCCCAAACCGUGUCUACAUACCUUUGUUGCUUUGGCAGGCCGCCGCUUAGGCGUUGGCUCCGGCUGACUGCGCCUGCCAGAGGACCUAAACUCGUUUGUUUAGUGAUGUCUGAGUACUAUAUAAUAGUUAAAACUUUCAACAACGGAUCUCUUGGUUCUG
rnacentral:misc_RNA from 1 species